UUUCCAAACAAUAUUAACCUUUCCAAGUAAUACUUUUCAUACACAUCAGGAAUCAAAUAUUACCCGAUGGCAUCCUUUCCAAACAAUAUUAUCCUUUCCAAAUAAUACUGUCCAUACCCAACAGGAAUCAAAUCGCACCGCAAUCGAAAACAGAUAUACAACGCCAAUCAAUCUUUUCGUUCUUUCCAUCUUACACCUCCAAUGCCCAAAAAUAAAGCGACCAAUCAUAGUCUGUCCAUCACGCCUUCCAUAUACAACAACAAACCAAUUUUCAAAACGUUUCUGAGCGGGACGGGCAAGGCCUGUUUCUCCAUGCUUCCAGGUCUCGGUUUGGGAUCCUACCAGUUUGCCAUUCGAGCGGCUGGGCGAGGCAUGUUUCUUUCAAAGUUUUCCAUCGGAGCAGGAGGCACCGGUGCCGCCGCGGCUGCGAGCAACAGGUUAGCACCUACUGAUGUUCGACCGAGUUUAAACCACAGGGCAGUAAGCUGUGCACGCUUCACAAUUUGCAACUUUACCUUUGUUCGUGAGUGCCGCAACUGUUCUUAUGUAAGUAGUACCCCCAACUGUUCAUUAUAGCUCCAGCAAUGCGCACAUGGCCUUCUUACGUACGAGCGAGGCAUCGAGCUGUUAGAUUUAAGGAAUAAAAUGGUAUUAGAAUCACUGUAAAAGAGGUAAAUCUCUGCGAUUAGAAUCUAUACUCCCGUUCUUGAUAUGGAGAAAUGCAAGCUUCCAUUGUCACAAUUUUUAUAGGUGGCAGAGAGAGGGUGUAAAUCACUUUUUAGUAAAACACCGGUUUUGUUCUACAAUGCCAUAUGGAGAUAUACAGAAGUUCUCAACUGUUACUAAGAACUCUUUGAAAGCAGUAAGCAAUAAAUCAAAUGCCAGCUUCCAUAGUCACAGUUUUUAUAGAGGCAAAUGGAGGCAACAAAUAACCUCCUGCUCCGAUGGCAAACCAAUCUUCCAGGUCUCGCUUCCAUUGUCACAAUUUUUAUAGGUGGCAGAGAGAGGGUGUAAAUCGCUUUUUAGUAAAUCACUAGUUUUGUUCUAUAAUUUUUAUACGGAUGUUCUCAACUGUUACUACAUACUAUUUAAAAGCAGGAAGCAAUAAAUCAAAUGCAAGCUUCCAUUGUCACAAUUUUUAUAGAUGGCAGACAGGGCAUAAAUCACUUUUUAGUUACAGUGGUUCUCAAAUUAUGUAAAUCACUUUUUAGUAAAUAACCUUUUUAGUUCUACAAUGCCAUAUGGAGAUAUACAGUAGUUCUCAACUGUUUUCUAAAAACUCUUUCCUCAAAUAGUAUGCAAGGGGAUGAAAAGGUUACUGCCCUGUUCCGAUGAGCUCACAGAUUUUAUUGUGGCCCAUUAAAACUCCUUGAGCUUCUUGCUGUCAAGACUUCAUCAUUUCAAAAUUAUCUUCCAGACUUUGAUGUUUGUCUCUUCAAUGAACUAGGAACCCAGGUAGUGAUGCCUCGCUGGAGUAUUGGUGAGCAUGCGAUCGGUUUUCUGCAUGUUUUAUAACCUGAUGAGUGCAUUCAACAACAUAUAUCACUUCAGUACCAGAGGAAAAUCAGCAAAACUAAAAACUAUUUAAAAGCAGGAAGGAAUAAAUCCAACAUUUGUUGCAUAUAUAUGUUUAGUUAUCACAAAUAUUAAGGGUUUAAUCUCUGCCGCUUCCUUAGUGCUGAGUCAUGGGCUUUCCAAAUAGUUGAUAUUAAUGGGUCUGAGAUAUUGUAGGUUAAAGUAUGUUAAAUAUAGUAGAUGGUACUUGUUGAUCUGUUUUUCCAAUGACAGUUGUCUGUGACAAUGAUGUCCUCGAAUGACUUGACCCCGUUUGGUUCUCGGUGGGAAAGGGUGAAUCUUUAUAAGCAACACCUACAGCGACAAAUGGAGGCAACAAAUAACCUCCGACGCCCUCUUGGUGAUAUCACCAAUGUUGAUAUAUUCCCGAGCGAGGGUCCAGGUAUAUGGAAUUUGAACAAUAUUGGUUUUUAGUAAAUUGAUUUCAAGAUUGGUUUCUACUAAUUUGAAAAAUCCAUUUCGCAAGCCAUGGGAGUGCCCCACAACCAUCGAGCAUCAUGUUUAUUCGUGAAGCAACAAUACCAUCACCCUCAACCAUUGAACUCCCCAAAGGGAGUCCAGGUAUAACUCAUCAGCAAGGUUUAAAUGCCUCUGAUAUUGGUUUUUACUAAUUUGAAUAAUAUUUCAGAUGCCAUUACAUCUGACCCACAUCCGUCGAGCGGCCUGGUUAUACAUGAAGCUACAAUCCCCUCUGCUGAAACCAUAGAACUCCCCAAAGGGAGUCCAGGUAUAUCUCACGGUCCACUUGCUCGUAAUCUGGUUUGUUUUAUCAUUGAUAUAUUGUAGCCCUCAUGGUGCAUGAUUGUAGCGGUAAAUACGAUUAACCUGUAGUGAGAUCAUUUAUCUUGAAUGUUCUGGUUCGGAUGCUAAUGUGUAUAUAUAUGUGUACAAUAACGGAUCCAGCUACAAGGGCCCGGGAUGCCAAGAGCGCACGGAGAAGAGCAGCUUAUAAAAAGAAAAAAGAAGACGAAGGGUAUCAAGAACAGAUCGAUAAGUUGAACACACGCAGACAGGAAUCUUACCAGAAGAAGAAACAACAGGACACAAGAGAACAAAGAGAAAAUAUAAAUGCACAGAGGCGAGCAGCUUAUCAGAAGAAGACACAAGAGGACACAAGCACUGGUCAUGUCUUACCACAACAGCAAAGGGAUAUUAUAAAUGCAAAGAGGCGAGCCACUUACAAGGAGAAGAAGGAACAAAUAAACACGCAAAGAUGUGAGACAGAUCAAAAACAUCGAGAUAGCUUGACACCAGAGCAGAAAGGGGAGAUGAGUGCUCAGCGCCGACAACGGGAGAAAGCUACGCGGAACACCCCGUGUGCUGAAUCCAUUGCGAUGCCUCGUCCUGAUUUAGCAACCUCAGUUGCGGCAAGCACAUGCGGUCACCCCUUCAAAACUUACGGUAUUUCUUGCAUGUGUACUCCACAUCUUUUGUUCGUAUGCAUUAAACAAAUAUUUACUUGCUCCGUAUCGGUGCAGCCAUCUACAGUUGCAGUAUGGUGGACGAUAAUAUUGUCAUGUUGAAUCCUGCGCAACAAUCCCAUGGUGAACUAAUAGAUUAUGCUCCUACCGUCACGUCAUCCCCCACAUACAUUCGCAACACCGAAACCGAUGGUAGUUGUCCCAUCAACAACCAGCUUUCAUUUUUUAAUCAUUCAACAAUUAUUUAUGAUAAUUCAAAAAUGUUGCAGGUGCAUACAUAAGUAGAACCUUUGGUGACGGUGCUGUAGAUCGUGACCUCAUUGAAAAUGAUGAUCACCUAAAAAGUGUCGACCAGCAAACCAGUGAUCCGCUAACAAUAGCGGAUAGUGCAGCUGACGAGCAGAUGCAUGAGUCGAGAGCUCAGCUUAGGACGAGAGAGCGAGCUUGCAAAGGGAGGUAUGGUGGCGAAGAAGCAUCAAGAGAAAAUUGGCAAACGAAAAUCAUGUACGCAGGUGCCACGUGGUGAGAGGAAGGCUCUGCUAAAUCGUCGUAAUGCAAGCUUUGCAAGUAGGGUUAAGACCCCAACUGCCAGGACUAUCUUCAUACCGAAAAUGAGCUCAACGGGACAACCAACCAUACUUGAAGCACAUGGUGCCUCAACCUCAUCUAGCACGCCAGAGUACACGAUCAGGAGUGAAGGUAACACUCCCAUCCUUACUCUUCUUGUGUCCCUUGACACUGAACACUCAUUUAUUGAAUCGGCACCCGUGCAACCGACAUGGACGCUUACCUUAGUGGUCUCAUGAAUGAUAAUGCCAACCCUGACAACCUCUUCGACGAUGAGUAUUACCUGUUUGCUGGUGAAGGUAUGUACACCAGCUUGAGCAAGAUCCACACGUUGGGAGUAUCGCAUUAAUUAGAAACAUUGUUUGCGGGCUCGGUUGCUGAUGACAUGGAGCACGACGAAUUGGAAGACUCAAGUCACAAUACCUAUGUCAACCAUGAUCCCUUGGACUAUGUGUACUCAAACCUCCCCGACAGUACACACAUCCUCAAGCACGCCGCGAACUGCGACCACUGCAAGGCCAAGAAGUUUGUGUCCGAGGCCCCGGGAUUUUGCUGUCGCAAUGGGCAGAUUGAGCUGAAGCAACCGGAGCCCAUCCCGGAGCUAAUGAGGCCUUGGUCUAGCCAGGAUGCGGACUCUAGGCAUUUUCGAGAGAACAUACGGUUCUUCAACGACCACUUCUCCUUCACAACGCUCAGCGUCAGCCUGGAUGAAAGCUACACAAACAUGAAGUCUGGGGUGUACACCUUCCGGGCGCACGGCACCAUCUACCACGACGUUCAUUCCUUCGGGACAACAUCCCGUCCAGAGCAUCUAAAAUUGUACUUCUACGACGACGACCCAGGCCUAACCCAUCGCCAGCCUGCCACCAAGCAAUUAGAUCAGAAUGUCGUCAGAAAGUUAGUGGACAUACUCAAGGAAAACCCGUACUCCCAGCAAUUUAGGAGUUUGGGUGCCCACAGGGACAACCUCGACGAUUACAGGAUAGACCUCAACACGGACUAGAGACUAGAUCAAUGGAAGUAUAAUAGACCUCUAUCAUCGGAGGUCGCUGCAAUUUGGGUGGAGGGCACUGACCUAGCAAAGAGGUUCGAUCGUAGGAUUACACUUUGCGGGAAUGACAACCAGAGGCACAGUAUACAUGUGACGGCUGGCUCGUAUGACCCUCUCUCUUACCCACUCUUCUACCCAAGGGGGGAGCUCGGUUGGCACCCGAAACUUCCUAAACGUGAUGUCCCUUGGCCGGUUGUGCAACAACCAAGAGGUAGAGGUGAUGAUGAUGAUGAUGAUGAGGAGGAUGCAGGUAAGCCUUAUGCGUAUUUUGUCGUUGAGAUGAAUUGUAUACUUCUCAUAUGAAUCCUAAUGUCCUCGAUACUCAUCCAUGUGCAGAGGGGAAUAGCAGGUUAUGCGUCCCGGUUAGAGACUACUACUGUUACAUGCUCCAGACACAACCUGGGAUAUUCAAUCCCAUACUCUGUGGAGCACGAUUGCUCCAGCAAUGGGGGGUGGACAUGUACAUCAAGAUUGAGAGUUGUAGGUUGAAAUGGUACAGGAAGAACCAGACAAAGAUCCGUGCCGACCUGUAUAAAGGAGUUGUUGAUGCAAUUACAUCCGGGGAGACCCGGGCAAGCGCUGUUGGAGUAAGGAUAGUGCUCCCUGGAACGUACCCAGGUGGCACCGCGACAUGAAGCGGAGGCAUAUGGAUGACAUGGCAAUUGUCCAUACCCACGGGAAGCCUGACAUCUUCUUGACCAUGACCUGCAACCCUAACUGGGAAGAGAUAACAAAUGAGUUGUUUCCUGGUCAGACAACGCAAGACCGGCCUGAUCGUGUGGCUCGUGUGUUCCAUGGAAAGCUAGAAGCUAUGAAACACAUGUUGUUCAAGAAGAAUAUCCUGGGUGUUGUUGUCGCACAUGUAUAUGUAGUCGAGUUUCAAAAGAGGGGCCUCCCCCACGCACACUUUUUGUUGAUCAUGGAUUCUGCCUAUAAGCUUGUCAUUCCGGAGCAGUACGACCGACUCAUUUAUGCCGAGCUCCCAGACAAGCAAAAGUAUCCUGAACUCCACGCCUUGGUGGUGAAACAUAUGAUGCACGGACCAUGCGGUGCUCUCAACCCCCAAAAUGUUUGCAUGCAACAAAACGAGUGCAAGUGCAGAUACCCGCGGCCAUUCAAUGAAAACACGACACAGGGCAAGGACUCAUACCCUGUUUAUCGUCGUCGAGAUAAUGGUCGGCAGGCUAAGGUCCGGGGUAAAAUGUUGGACAACAGAUGGGUUGUGCCGUAUAACCCUUACCUUCUGCGUAUGUUCAAUUGCCAUAUCAACGUUGAGGUUUGCUCCGGCAUAAAGGCCGUUAAAUACCUUUACAAGUACAUAUGCAAGGGCCAUGAUAGGGCUUCUUUCAGCAUCGACCAGCCAGACGCCGAUGGUAACAUUGAUGAGAUCAAAAGAUACAUAGACGCGAGGUGGGUUACUCCUCCGGAGGCGAUGUGGAGGAUAUUUGGCUUUUCCUUGUGUGCCAAUGACCCGUCUGUCCUACAGUUGCCUCUUCAUCUCCCGAAUAUGCACAGGGUGGCAUUCAAUGAGCAAACUCACUUGACCGGCGUAGUCGCCUCUGAGAAAGCUUCCAAAUCCAUGUUGACAGAGUAUUUCAAAGCUAACCAAAACCAUCCGUGGGCUAGGAAUAUAUUUUACAAGGAUUUUCCUGGAAGGUUCACAUGGUAGAAGGGUAAGAAGUAUUGGAAAGGGCGGGUGGAGCGUUAUCAGAUAGGUCGAAUUGUGUCUGCCAAUCCUGCCGAGGGGGAGUGAUACUAUCUGCGUGUGCUGCUAAACCAUGUUGCUGGCAAGACAUCCUAUGAGGACCUGCUCACCGUGGACGGUAGGCUAUGCGGGAGCUUUAGAGAGGUUACCGAAAGGUUGGGACUCAUCGAGGCAGAUAACACGCUCGACGAUUGUCUUACCGAGGCAGAGCAGUGGGCGAUGCCAUGUUCGCUCAGGAGGCUCUGCACAACAAUUUUGGUGCACUAUGAGCCAGGCGACGUGCGUGGUUUAUGGGAUAGGCACUUCGAGCCUAUGUCGGAUGACUACCGACGAUCACACAUGUGUCCGAUUGAGGCGGAACAGAUGGUGUUGCUUGACAUUAGGGGUACGUUGCAGUCCAUGGGCAAAGACAUAGCUGAUUUUGCUCUUCCAUGCAUUGAUGAUGAGUUCGACCCAAAUGAGGGUGAGGCCAGAGAAGUGAUCGAGGAAUCCAACAUCGAUUUUGACAUCAACGACACUAAAUUGGCAUUGCCGCUAAACUUGGAGCAGAGGGUUGCAUAUGACGAGAUACUAGCUGCUGUUGAACGCGGUGAUGGGGGUGUGUUCUUUGUUGAUGGCCCGGGAGGUACAGGGAAGACCUUCCUGUACAGGGCAUUGCUCGCCAAGGUUCGAAGCGAUGGAAACAUCGCUAUCGCUACCGCGACGUCAGGCGUCGCCGCUUCUAUCAUGCCUGGAGGCAGGACUGCCCACUCGAGGUUCAAGAUCCCAUUGAGCUGCGACGAUGGCGCCUCAUGCACCUUCACGAAGCAGAGUGGUACUGCCAAGCUACUAAGGAUGGCCUCAUUGAUACUAUGGGACGAGGCCACCAUGACUAAGCGACAGGAGGUCGAGGCACUCGACAACAGCAUGCGUGACAUCAUGGGAAGACGGGACCGACCCUUUGGAGGAAAAACUGUUGUGUUUGGCGAGGACUUCAGGCAGGUGCCCAGUCGUCAGGAGGGGGUCCCGGGGUCAGAUAAUCGAUGCAACCCUCUGAAGUUCACAUCUCUGGAAAUGUAUAAGCCAGCUAAGGCUCGUCACCAACAUGAGGGCUCAUAAUGACACCUGGUUUGCGGAUUACUUGCUAAGGGUAAGCAAUGGUACCGAGGAAGUUGACGAUCAAGGAAACAUACGACUCCCUGAAGGUAUUUGUGUGCCGUCUACAGGCGAGGGUGACGACCUGAAGAAGCCGAUUGACCAUGUGUUUCCAAGACUAGAUGACAACAUGUCUGAUCCGAAUUACAUGACUUCACGCGCAAACCUCUCCACCACGAAUGACAAUGUCGACAAGAUAAACAUACACAUGGUAGAGCGUUUUCGGGGAGAAGAAGUAAUCUACCAUAGCUUUGACAGUGCAGAAGACGACCCAUAUGGCUACUACGCUCUCGAGUUCCUAAAUGGAUUGACUCCCAACGGUCUGCCUCCGCAUGCACUCAAACUAAAGCUCAACUGCCCUGUCAUACUUCUAAGGAACAUUGAUCCGGCUAAUGGUCUAUGUAACGGGACGAGGCUUGUGGUGCGAGGUUUCGAGAGGAACGCCAUCGACGCAGAAAUCGUGAUCGGACAACACGCAGGUAGGAGGGUAUUCCUUGCUCGAAUACCCCUAUGCCCGUCUGACAAUGACAUGUUUCCAUUCAAGUUCAAGAGGAAGCAAUUUCCUGUAAGGCUUAGCUUUGCUAUGACGAUUAACAAGGCACAAGGACAGACGAUUCCGAUUGUUGGCGUGUACCUACCUAAUCCGGUGUUUUCUCAUGGUCAACUCUAUGUUGCAUUGUCUCGAGCCACCGCGAAGAGAAAUAUAAAGAUCCUCAUUGAGAAGGAGAAGGACAAGGAGAAUGGCAAGAAGCAAAGCAGUAAAUCAAAGAAGCGAAAAAGACCUACCUUGUCCUUACAAACCUCGAUGAAGAACAUCGUCUAUAAGGAAGUCCUUACAGGCUGAAGUCCGCUCUUAAAUAUGACAGAGGAUUUACUCUUAUGCUACAGAUAAGUUGGUGCUCUUCGGUGUUCUUGUACAGAUAUCUUAUCUUUCUAUGUUAGCAAUCGAACCUUAUUAUGUUUAUACAACAAGUCAAAUAUUAAUAAUAUUGCCUCGGAUUUGUGACUUUGCAAGUUGCCAAUUUUUGCUGUAUGUGACAUUAUUUUCCCUUUUGCUGGAUUGCUUAAGUAGAUUAUUCGGUGUCUUACCCCGCGGUGCCGGAGGCGUCCGUCCUACUUGGUUUCCUCCUCCCAUCCCACCCCCCUGAUAAACGUGGUUUCCUCCUCCCCACGGCCCGGCUUCCCCACCCCCCUGAUCAAAUUGGUUUCCUCCCAUCCCAGGCCCUCCCUCCCCACCCCCCUGCUCAAAUUGAUUUCCUCCAACUCCUGGCGCCCCCCGUGCCCCCUCACCAAAGCCACCAAAUGCAUGCCCUGAUCCUGAUGCCAUCACAACGUAUGUCAAAACGGGCAUCCACUUACAAAAUAUAAGAACUAUAACNNNNNNNNNNNNNNNNNNNNNNNNNNNNNNNNNNNNNNNNNNNNNNNNNNNNNNNNNNNNNNNNNNNNNNNNNNNNNNNNNNNNNNNNNNNNNNNNNNNNAAGAAAAAUAAAAAUGCUAAUGGUGGCAAAUCACAUAUUUCAAGGAGGAUUCCAACACGUAAAUCCUCUAAUUUGUCCUAAACGAAAUGUUUGACUACAUAUUAAAUCCCUUAACUCUUCUACAACAUGGUUUAAAUUGCAAGGUCAGUACGGAGAUGUGAGAUUGGCAUGUAUACCCGCAUUUCUCGUAUCACUAAAUGAGCCCUGUAAACACAAAUGGAGUGGGCAGCCCGAAUGUGCAUACAUCGCCAUUGAUCAUACAUGAAUAGCAUGUGUGCCGGUCACCGGGGUUGCCUCCUGAUCGAAUUCGAUAGGUUCAUUUUCUUUACAGCCGAACUAACUCCAUUUCCAUUAAUUGCUUAUGAAAAAUAACCAUCAUACAAGCUGCAAAAAAGGAGGGAUGGGGGAAUAACAAAAAUAUUAAAGAGGCUUGCGAGUUUAAUCACUAGUAAGAAACCCACCGUGAAUGUUUGCUCAUGAACAACCACACUAUGGGGCAAAAACCUACUAGCGCAAGAUAAAAAUGUUUAAAAAGUUGGGGAUCACGGUGCAAAUUACAUUCAAAAGCAACACUUGCUCGAGUGAUAGAAGCAUCAUUUCCAAGCAACCUCCAGAAUGACCAGCAGCAAUCAGCUUCCAGUAACAGCCGGCGGCGCCAGAUCAAGGCCAUGCAUGGCAAUAACCAUCAAAUCACCUGUGGUACCACGGUGCCUUGCCCCGCGGCGGAGGAGGCAUCCGUCCUACAUGGCUUCCUUGUGUAACCCCUGACGACCCGUCGUCGGACCACUUACCAUGCUUUCCUCCUCCCCCCGGCCUUGCCUCCCCAAGCCCUUGAGCAAAUUGGUUUCCUCCUUGUUCCCUCGGCAUGUGCCAAGACCCGUCACGAAGAUCACUAAAUGAAUAGCCUCCUGGCGCUUGUCCGCCACCCCCCUGAUCUAAUUGGUUUCCUCCCCUUGGCCCGGCCUCAGCCCCCUGACCAAAGUCGCCAAAUGCACGCCCUGAUGCCAUAGCAACAAAUUAUAUGCCAAAAAUGUGCACCCACUUCCAAAAUAUAAGAAUUAGAACGGACGCGUGGUUGCGUACCUUUGCAAACAGCAGAGCAUGGGCAUGGCAGCAGGGAGCAGCAGCAGGCGAACACCAGGGUGAUUGCCAUGGCGCGUGUGAGCGAGGACAGAGAAGAAGAUGACCGCCUCAUUGUCGAUAGGACGAUCCUGCCUUCCUAGCUUCAGCUCUGAAGAAAUGAUUUGAUCUCUCUUUGUGGCCGGGUUACUCCUCUUAGUUAAGUAGUGCCCUAAGUGCAACAACAAGUGUGUCAAGUCAACAGAUUGUCUGAAAAUCUAGAUUAACCUAAUGUAAUCACGAUCAAGUGUAGCUAAAUAGAUGCUCGGAGCCCCAAGUCAAGUCAAGUGCUCAAAGUCGUCCAUGCCAACACUUAAUCUCUGUUGUCAAUGCAUCUUAAUCACGGUUGCAGGCUUGAAACAGUCAGGCAAAGCUGCUGGCAACUGUAACAUACAAUUCGUACAAGUUGCUACUGCCAGCUGAGCAGUUGUACUGGAGAUGCUCACCGAUAAGCAGAGCAGCGUGGCAGUUCACCGAUAAGCAAAAUGGGCAUCGGAAUUUCAAUAAGAAAAUCAGAGUGCCGCAGCAGAAGCGUAGUGGGCCCAUAAUGCAUAGGUCCAAACCUGGCUCUGGUAAUAUUUUCCACAUUGGGCUGAACUUUUUUUUUCUGGGCUGCGAUAUUUUAUUCGUUGUUCAACCAAUUUUCAUAUUCAUGAGUUCUGAACUGGACUUCAGUUUUUCGUGUGGUCCAUUUCGAUUUUGUAGGAUUGUUUGGCCCGUUUCUUCUAAUCAUGCAUCUUUCGAACAUUCUUAACCUGAAAAGGAGGUCUUGGAUCAAUCUGUUUGACUUUUUUUUCUGGCUAUUGUAGAUUCUUCUUACGGUGACAUUGUAGAAAUUUUCAAGCCGUGCAUUUGUCGUUUCGUCCAUGAAUAAGUAUACAUCUACCAUAUGGUACAACAAAUUGCUUUUCUUUCCCCUCUCGCAAGGCGACUAGGGAAAGCCUUUCUCCCCUCGAUUUUCGCCUGCAAGCCCGUGGAUCCACCUACACUCUGCCUGCCGCUCAGACUGCCGAUGGCGGGAAGAGGACCUUGUCCCUCGGCUCCGGCUAGUUGAUAGAUAGGGUUUUGGUUCUUCUUUUUUCAUGCUUAAAUAUCCCACGAGGUGCUUCAGAAGAGCAUAAAAUCCUUCUAAGAAUAAGAAAGAAGGUACAAAACAAAUGGAAAUGUGUGAUAUGCCAUGAAUAGUUCCGUGGCGAUGUAAGAUAGAAAGAACGGGGAGUUAGGCCUUCGGUUUCCUCUGUAGCCAUUUUCCGACAUGCGGAUUCACUUCUCUGUUCAGACGGACGGCGGUGCUUCUUCAUCGAUAUAGUCUUCCAGGCUCCGAUCCUCCUCAAGUUCGUCCAUUAGGACGAAUUACAUAGAGCUCUGAUGUAGAUUCCUGUCAGCUCCUCGGGGCGGCAGGUUUAGGUUUCUUGUCGUGCGUACACAAAGAUUUGGUGUCAGGUUCUUCAGGUCGAUUCAAGGAUUCAAUGCCAACGACUUCGUCUCUAGGGCCCUGGUCUAGGGAUGGCACCCGCAUGGUUUGGGUACGGGUAGAGCCACCCCAUACCCUUACCCAUCCCAUUUGAUCUUACCCAUCAUCCGUACCGUAUCCACUAGUGGGAACAAUUUAUGUUCAUACCCGUCAGGUAAAUGGGUACCAACGAGUAAAAAUACCCACGUUUGAAUAACAUUAAUUUGAGCAUCACAUAAUUAUAAACAACAACAUAUAAUCACAAUUUAUAAACAACAAACAUAAUAACAUCAAUACAUACUUAUAAACAACAUCCUAUGAAAAUCAGCACUUUCUUGUAAACAACAACACAUCAAAACAACAACACAUAGUCAUAAGCAGUAGCACAUAGUCAUACAUUUAAGUUCAAAACUCACGACAAAGUGUACAGGUAAUUUGUCAAUAUUCGUUAGAUUUUAUAAGGAUACAUGGGUAUGCGGGUGAGGGUUAUGUGAUCUCAUACCCUACCCGCUCUCCCCGAUGGGUUUGAGAUUUGCCUAUUUUCUUUACCCAUGGGCAACGUUUUGUCUCAUGCCCUUACCCUAAUAGUAUUUUUACCCGCAGGAUACAUGGGUAUUGGGUACCCAUUUGCCAUCCCUACAUUGGUCCUUAGGGGUACGUGCACGAAGACUUCAUGGUUGUCAUCGAUAAGAUCAGGUCUACUUCAGUAUGGGAGCGGUGACAGUGGCAUCCGCGGCUCGUUCUGGCGGCGGCAAAGGUCAUUCGUUGAUCCAUGGACCUUGAUGUACUUUUUUUUAUUAUGUUCAUGCUACUUUGUGCUUCCGGUGAAUCUUUAUUUUAGUAUGAACCUUUUCGCAUAGAAAUCGUAUGUCAUACAAUAAAAUUACAAAAAUUACAUUUAAUUUGCACAUUGACAAGCGAAAGAAGAAGGUCCAUUAUACUGUGAACAAAAAUCAACUUCAAAUUUUGUCGAGCUGACUGACUGUUUUUUUUCUUUUUUUAGUCAACUACACCGGGCAAAAGCCAACCUGAACAUAUUUUUCAUCUUUUGAAAAACAGAGCAGGAUCAGACACCGUUGGAUCAGUAGAAAGGAGACCGGCCACCAAGAAGAUAUACAGAAGAAGACACCAGCUUGCCGAGUCACUGGGAUAGCCUUACUGGCUUGCUUGGUUUUACAACCGAGCUAAACCCAUUUUCUCUACUCCUAAUGUCUCAGUCCAUACGUAGUUUCGUUCGCUCGUACCCUCCCCCUCCCAUCGAACGAGAGGCCACCCCUCGACCCCAUCCCACUUCCACCGUUUUUUUUAUUAACCGAGACAAUCCCCAAAUAAACCCCACAAUGGCCGAACAAUAUUAACCGAUGGCAUUCUUUCCAAACAAUAUUAACCUUUCCAAGUAAUACUUUUCAUACACAUCAGGAAUCAAAUAUUACCCGAUGGCAUCCUUUCCAAACAAUAUUAUCCUUUCCAAAUAAUACUGUCCAUACCCAACAGGAAUCAAAUCGCACCGCAAUCGAAAACAGAUAUACAACGCCAAUCAAUCUUUUCGUUCUUUCCAUCUUACACCUCCAAUGCCCAAAAAUAAAGCGACCAAUCAUAGUCUGUCCAUCACGCCUUCCAUAUACAACAACAAACCAAUUUUCAAAACGUUUCUGAGCGGGACGGGCAAGGCCUGUUUCUCCAUGCUUCCAGGUCUCGGUUUGGGAUCCUACCAGUUUGCCAUUCGAGCGGCUGGGCGAGGCAUGUUUCUUUCAAAGUUUUCCAUCGGAGCAGGAGGCACCGGUGCCGCCGCGGCUGCGAGCAACAGGUUAGCACCUACUGAUGUUCGACCGAGUUUAAACCACAGGGCAGUAAGCUGUGCACGCUUCACAAUUUGCAACUUUACCUUUGUUCGUGAGUGCCGCAACUGUUCUUAUGUAAGUAGUACCCCCAACUGUUCAUUAUAGCUCCAGCAAUGCGCACAUGGCCUUCUUACGUACGAGCGAGGCAUCGAGCUGUUAGAUUUAAGGAAUAAAAUGGUAUUAGAAUCACUGUAAAAGAGGUAAAUCUCUGCGAUUAGAAUCUAUACUCCCGUUCUUGAUAUGGAGAAAUGCAAGCUUCCAUUGUCACAAUUUUUAUAGGUGGCAGAGAGAGGGUGUAAAUCACUUUUUAGUAAAACACCGGUUUUGUUCUACAAUGCCAUAUGGAGAUAUACAGAAGUUCUCAACUGUUACUAAGAACUCUUUGAAAGCAGUAAG
rnacentral:lncRNA from 1 species